GAUGAACGCUGGCGGUGUGCCUAACACAUGCAAGUCGAGCGAACAGACGAGGAGAUUGUUCUUCUGAUGAUAGCGGCGGACGGGUGAGUAACUCGUGGGUAACCUACCUAUAAGACAGGGAUAACUUAGGGAAACCGAUGCUAAUAAAGGAUAAUUUAAUGAACCGCAAGGUUCAAAAGUGAAAGACAGUAUUGAUGUCACUUAUAGAUGCAUCCGCGCCGGAUUAGCUAGUUGGUAAGGUAACGGCUUACCAACGCAGCGAUGGGUAGGUGACCUGAGAGAGUGAUCGACCACACUGAAUGUGAGACACGGUCCAGACACCUACGGGAGGCAGCAGUAGGGAAGCUACCGCAAUGGACGGAGGCAUGACGGAGCAACGCCGCGUGAGUGAAGAAAGUCUUCGGAUCGUAGAGCUCUGUUAUUAGGGAAGAAAAAAUGUGUUAGUAACUAUGCACGGCUUGACGGUACCUAAACAGAAAGCCACGGCUAACUACGUG
rnacentral:rRNA from 1 species